UUUUUAGUAUUUGGCUCUGGAACCUUUUGUUCCAGCAGCAUUUUUAGUCUUUUGCCUAUGUAGUCGCUUUAAUUAAGAAGAGAGAGAGUAUCAAAUUGUAACCUCACAAUGGAGAUUUUUCUCCUAUAACCGCUACUAAAGCGGUGUAAGUACGGGGAUCAACGUACGAAUCCAUCAUUUCAUGGGUUCAUGAACGUGUGUCUUUAAGCCGCUGAGACGCCUCUGAAUCGAUGGCCGUCCUAGAAGCUUGGGGUAUGCUGUCUCCUGUCCAUCUGGACGUGUAGAGCUCGAUCACCGAGCCUAGAUUCAAUUUGAAGAAACAGCUAUGAGUGUUGCAUCAAAGACCACCAAGUCUUGUGAAUGGCGAUUUUGCGUUUGAUUGAGCUGAUAGACGAUGGCUGCAGUGUUGAGUCUUGAUGUUGUCCGUGAUGCUGAUCUUCAAUAGCGGGUCUGGUGAGCCAACAUACUGUAAGGUUGGUGCCGAGACAAACUUUGUCUAUCCUUUAUUAUAUUGUUUGAGAUGUUCAUCUAUCAAAAUUUAGUUAUCUGAUUAGUACUGGAAUUUCAGUUGUUUGAUAAUAUUUCAUUGUUAGGGUCAGUAAUGUGCUAUAAAAGUGUAGGGUGUAUUUUGUGGUCUGGCGUUGUAAAGAGAGUUGUCAGACGUGAUAGGGUUUGUUAACGUUUCCUUUAGGCUGUGGUAAUUUUUUUUGAGCUAAGAUAGGUAGAUGUGAGAAAUCUUAUCUGUUGAAGUUGUAGUUUUGUUUGAUGAAUUAAGUAUCUGGAGUGAGUGUCGCCAGUUGUAAGGGGCACUACUCAGAUGAGGUCCAUAUGACAAAUCAAGGUUAAUAGCUGGGACUAUCCUUGUUGUAUUUGUGGAAUGGAAGAUAGAAUUUUAGCAAAAGGUACUCAGAGUAGUAUGAGCUAAAAUUAGGUUUUAUUCUGGUGACUGGUGUGGUUCCUUUCUGAAGAUUUAUGGGGGUCUGAAGAAAAUAGAUGGAAUGCUAACCAAGAUCGGGUUUUUUUUUGAAAUUUUAGGGUAAGCCUCAGUUGAAAGGUUCGUUAGAUUGAUAGCUGGGAAUGGCCACAAUACACUGUCAAAAUUUAUUAUCUAAUUUCUUGGGAUAAAAUUUAUCUAAAUAAUGUGGGUAGUGAAAAUCUAAAGUUUUAUUUAUUAGGAAAAGAGGUU